rnacentral:rRNA from 1 species
AGCAGCCGCGGUAAUUCCAGCUCCAAUAGCGUAUAUUAAAGUUGCUGCAGUUAAAAAGCUCGUAGUUGAAUUUCGGGACCAUCAUGUCGGUCGUGCCUCGGUACGUACUGGCAUUGUUGGUUUCUCCCUUCUGACGAACCAUGAUGUCAUUUAUUUGGUGUCGUGGGAAAUCAGGACUGUUACUUUGAAAAAAUUAGAGUGUUUAAGGCAGGCUCACGCUUGAAUACAUUAGCAUGGAAUAAUGAAAUAGGACGUUUGAUUCUAUUUUGUUGGUUUCUAGGAUCGACGUAAUGAUUAAUAGGGAUAGUUGGGGGCAUUAGUAUUCAAUUGUCAGAGGUGAAAUUCUUGGAUUUAUUGAAGACUAACUACUGCGAAAGCAUUUGCCAAGGAUGUUUUCAUUAAUCAAGAACGAAAGUUAGGGGAUCGAAGACGAUCAGAUACCGUCGUAGUCUUAACCAUAAACUAUGCCGACUAGGGAUCGGAUGAUGUUAAUUUUUUAAUGACUCAUUCGGCGCCUUACG